rnacentral:rRNA from 1 species
CCUACGGUCUGCAGCAGUGGGGAAUAUUGCACAAUGGGCGCAAGCCUGAUGCAGCCAUGCCGCGUGUGUGAAGAAGGCCUUCGGGUUGUAAAGCACUUUCAGCGGGGAGGAAGGCGAUAGGGUUAAUAACCUUGUCGAUUGACGUUACCCGCAGAAGAAGCACCGGCUAACUCCGUGCCAGCAGCCGCGAUAAUACGGAGGGUGCAAGCGUUAAUCGGAAUUACUGGGCGUAAAGCGCACGCAGGCGGUCUGUCAAGUCGGAUGUGAAAUCCCCGGGCUCAACCUGGGAACUGCAUUCGAAACUGGCAGGCUAGAGUCUUGUAGAGGGGGGUGGAAUUCCAGGUGUAGCGGUGAAAUGCGUAGAGAUCUGGAGGAAUACCGGUGGCGAAGGCGGCCCCCUGGACAAAGACUGACGCUCAGGUGCGAAAGCGUGGGGAGCAAACAGGAUUAGAUACCCCUGUAGUC